GCCCUAUUAUCUAACUGUGCCAUCUUCCAAAGGGGUUGUGUGUAUGGGCAGGGGGGAUGUCCCAGCGUUACGAAUGCAGAAGUAAAAACACCAAUCUGAAAAAGGAAAGGGAGGAUAAAUGUUCUGUCCUCCAAAAUAGAGAGUCUUAAAACAGGAGGACAAAGGACAGGUCCUCACCAGGGCUACGCCCACGCCCACGGGAAAGGCACACAGAGCAGGGCGGUCCAAACCAGCAGUCGUGAGAGCACGAGGCUUAGCAAACAAUGGUUGCUGUACUCCACCCACGCCCCUGGAGCUGAAUUUCAAGUUCUGAAUUUAGACAAUACAGCUGGAAUUUCUGCAGUGUCACUCCGUGACACGCGGGGCUCCGGGCAGCUCUUGUUAAAAAUAUCUGGACACCCAUUGCAAGAACGAAAAUGAAUAUUUGAAAAGGAAAAGACAUCUACGGUGAGUUGGCAGGAAUUCUCCCAGGCAGGAUGAAAGGAAAUAGUUAUUUGGAGAGUACCUUCAAGCAGGCUAGAAGUUUCAUAAUGGCUUGAAGAAGUAGGAUGAAUUUGUCGGGGGAAAAAAAAGAUAGGAUUAUGGUUGUAUCACAUUAGACCCUUCCUCGCAUUUAGGGUAGACUCAGGAAACUUUCAUUCACAGAAAGGUAACUUUAAAUUUGAUAAAUUAUUUGCAAGGCUUGGUGUACCGCCCACUGUUCUUCUAGACCAUAAACUCUUUGGAUGUCAGAUAUAAAGAAAGCCUUGGGAAAUGUUGCUGCAUCGAUGUGUCCCUAAUAAAUGGUAAGAUAUAAAAAUCUUAGAGCAGUGGUCAAAUGUUGGCUUAACACCACAGGAUCAGUCCUUCCAGGGCUGCUGAACACUCCAGGAUUAUUAUGUUGAGACGGGUCACCCGGAAGUCGGCUCUCCUGCUGGGCAUUAUCACCUGCCUGGGGGGUGACCUGACAGGCUCCUCCUCCAACAGAGCAACAUAGAAUUCAGAAUCUCAGAAUUGGAAGGUUCGGAUUGCUUCCCUCAGUACUUACGUGAUGCUGAUCAAGCCCUUUAACUUCCCCAGUUAGUUCCACGUCACUAAAUAAAGAGCAAAGACAUCUACUCUACCUACCCCGUGAAGGCAGUGCGACUCUGGAAUGAGGCCAACUCUGAAAUAUGGAUCCUUGCAUCAGUCUUGAUCAAACAGAAAAUCUGGGGGGUUAUGAAAGAGCUGGAGGAGGAAAUCUAAGAUCAUGUUUAAGAGCUGGAAUACAGGAAGGGCGUCUAGGUGGCUCAGUCGGUUAAGUGUCUGACUUUGGCUCAGGUCUUGAUCUCACGGUUUGUGAGUUCGAGCCCCUAGUCUGGCUCUGUGCUGACAGCUCAGAACCUGGAGCCUGCUUUGGAUUUUGUGCCUCCCCUCUCUCUGCUCCUCCCAUGCACAUGCUCUGUCUCUCAAUAAUAAAUAAACCUUUAAAAAAUUUUUUUAAAAAAGAAAAAAGAGCUGGAGUGCAGGAGUAAAACGAAUCUGAAUCCUUUCCUGUGGUUUUGUAAAACUUUACUUAGGCAACAUGCUUAUGUUCUCCAAGCUGUUAGCGGAGUGUCUGAUGCAGUUACUGCACUAAAAACUUUACCUGUUACCAUAACGAAGGAGUUAGCAUCGUAUUAUGGUGAAAAAUGUAGGCGCUGGAGUCAGAUGACCUAGACCCUGGAAAGGGGCAAAUGUUUUUUGAAGAAGUAACGUCACAACUCUCAGAAAUAAAAUGCACAUUUGUUAAAGAUAUAUUUAACUCCUUAAUUCAUGAGGGAACCAAUACAAUGUCUCUAAAGGAGAAUUCCAAACACCACACAUUUAAGAGGCAGUCAGGCAUACAAAAAUGAACGGCUAGAUGCAAAAUACGUUUUUGACAUGGUGGGAAGAAAAAUCAGUUAUCUUUUCACCCGACAGAAUGCACUUGCAUAUCUACAGACACGAAUUAUUUUCAAUGCUAUCAGUUUUCUACAGUUUACAGAAUUGAGAUGAGCUGACAGACAACAAAAUAAUUCAAAGACAAUGAAAGCCUAAAACGGUAGUGCUUGGAGCAGGUUGAAGUUAAUCUAGAAACAAAAUGACAUAUUUUUUUGCACCUUAAUAUUGUGAACUUAAAUUCCCAUUUGCUAAAAACUCAUGGGAAACGCUAUAUCCGAGAAAAUUCCAGUUUCUUGAUAAGCCUCAUCUACAUUACUGCCUACUGUUCAGAUUUGCAACUAAUUCAAAUCUGACUCCUUUGUCUUGGGCUUUUUAAAAAAAAAAUUUAAUGUUUAUUUAUUUUUGAAGGAGAGAGAGACAGAGCACCAGCAGGGGAGAGACAGAAAGAGAAGGAGACACAGAAUCCGAAGCAGGCUGCAGGCUCUGAGCUGUCAGCACAGAGCCCAGUGUGGGGCUCGAACCCACGGACCGCGAGAUCACGACCUGAGCGGAAGUUGGAUGCUUAACCGACUGAGCCACCCAGGUGCCCCCAUCUUAUGCUUUCAAUAGAUUUGACACUUAACGAACCCAUGUGGUAUACUGAUCCAGCUCAGUGGCCUUCAUGUGAUUAUUCCUGAUUGGGACAGCCAGUGUCUUAGGCUAUAGUUUGUCUUAUUGCCUGUUUAAAACUUUCUUACCCCAUGAGUUACCUCUAUGUUUGUUUUUA
rnacentral:lncRNA from 1 species